UAUACAUUGCCCUGCUGUAAUAAAAAUCGUGUAGUACUUUUAACAGUAAAAUACUACUACUACUAAUAAUAAUAAUUUAUUUGGUUUAAUAAACGUCACGUCAUUCACAUUCAGGUGUUCUGCCUGUAAGUACACCUGACAGAGUUGAGAAGUGCGUGCACAUGCGCAUUGGAAAUCUGCCGGUACUUUGGAGGCGGCGGAUUUGAACGGGCCAAUCAGCACACUGCAUCUGAGGACCAGUCGGACUCUGAUUUUGUACAGAGAGACUUCUCAUCCACCCUUAUCCAUCAGAGCUGCUCUCUUUCUCAGGUAAUGAAGAUGCUCAGAGUGCUGCAAGUGCUACCACACAAGAAUCCAGUGUGCCAGAUGCAGAAGACACAGUCACAGGCGGACCAAAAGAGGUUGAGAUGGAGGCUGUGCCAGCAACAACCUGCCUUAUUGUGUGUGGGUCCUCUUGCUUCACUGCUGACUGCUUCAUGUUGAGCAUUGAUCAGAAGAUUGUCAACGACCACAUCACUGCCUUCCCCUGUGCCAUCUGCCUCAUGUUUGGCAGUUACUAUUGCUUCAAUAUACACUGCCCAGUGGGACUGCGAUCAACACUGGAGUUCCUCCGGAGGUGUUUCUUUUCAAUAAAUCCGGAGAGAGGAACGAAAGUUGAGCACAGCAAAAGGAGGAUGUCUUUGCUGUGAACCCAGGAGUCCUCACACUCAUCGCUGACCUUGCAGACCAUGAGUGGACUUGAGUGGACCAUACUUCGUGAGUCAUGUAAUGUGAGGUGUAAUGUU